CGCAAGGCCUCACGCUAUACGAGCGGCCGAUGUCGGAUUAGCUAGUUGGUGGGGUAAAGGCCUACCAAGGCGACGAUCCGUAGCGGGUCUGAGAGGAUGAUCCGCCACACUGGGACUGAGACACGGCCCAGACUCCUACGGGAGGCAGCAGUGGGGAAUUUUGGACAAUGGGGGCAACCCUGAUCCAGCCAUGCCGCGUGAGUGAAGAAGGCCUUCGGGUUGUAAAGCUCUUUCGGACGGAAAGAAAUCGCAUGGGUCAAUACCCUGUGUGGAUGACGGUACCGUAAGAAGAAGCACCGGCUAACUACGUGCCAGCAGCCGCGGUAAUACGUAGGGUGCGAGCGUUAAUCGGAAUUACUGGGCGUAAAGCGUGCGCAGGCGGUUAUGUAAGACAGAUGUGAAAUCCCCGGGCUCAACCUGGGAACUGCGUUUGUGACUGCAUAACUAGAGUACGGCAGAGGGAGGUGGAAUUCCACGUGUAGCAGUGAAAUGCGUAGAGAUGUGGAGGAACACCGAUGGCGAAGGCAGCCUCCU
rnacentral:rRNA from 1 species